rnacentral:rRNA from 1 species
AAUGAACGCUGGCGGCGUGCUUUACACAUGCAAGUCGAGCGAGGCCGGGUAGCAAUACCCGAGUCGAGCGGCGCACGGGUGAGUAACGCGUGGAUGACCUGCCUGAGGGUGGGGGAUAACCCGGGGAAACUCGGGCUAAUACCGCAUAAAACCGAGAGGUCAAAGGGGGCCGCAAGGCUCUCGCCUGCAGAGGGGUCCGCGUCCGAUUAGCUAGUUGGCAGGGUAAUGGCCUACCAAGGCGACGAUCGGUAGCCGGCCUGAGAGGGUGAUCGGCCACACUGGAACUGAGACACGGUCCAGACUCCUACGGGAGGCAGCAGUGGGGAAUUUUGCGCAAUGGGCGAAAGCCUGACGCAGCAACGCCGCGUGGAGGAUGAAGGUCUUCGGAUUGUAAACUCCUGUCAGUGGGGAAGAAGGGGAACGUGCUCAUACCACGUUUCAUUGAUUGUACCCGCAGAGGAAGCCCCGGCUAACUCUGUGCCAGCCGCCGCGGUAAGAC